CGGCGGCGCUGUACUGCAUGAACGAGGCGGAGCUGGUGGAGGUGGCCCUGGCGGUCCUGGCCGAGAGGAGUGACGUGGUUCCCCAGCAGGAUGUUGGAUAUGCUGACCCAAAGGAUSAUGCCUGGCUUCUAAGUUCCCAUCUGCUUGGCAUGGUGUGAUUCCAACUUCUACAGCUCCUUCUCACACUGUUUAUCAAUCGGAAGAUGAAGCACAGAGCAAUUACAUGAUGUCCCCAUGAUUACAUACUGACUAAUUUCUAAUCUAGGAGCAAAAUCUGUUCCCCCGGCAUGCUAGGCAGAUGAACCCAUGUAGGCUGAGUGUACAUGCAUAUACAGCUAGUUGCACACAGCAAUACACCCCUGUACCUUUAUGCAUAUUUGUGGAUAAACUGAUCUUAAUGUAUGCUCACACGUGUUUAGAAAUAGUGCGCAAAUAGCUACACAAUGUACAUGCAGUCUGGUGUUUAACUAAAAAUAAACCCACAAAAGAGACUGAGCUAAUCUCAACUAUUCUCAGCAGGAAUGAGUGCAGUAACACUAGUUACAAUUGCACUCUACACAGUCGCUAAAACCAAGGCAAUUUCAAACCAAGUUGUGAGUGAACAGUAACCUCAACCCACAUGUCCUCCCAGUGAAACUGUGUUCUGGUCUCCCAGUAUAAACUGGGAAGCCUACUGAAAUAAGAGAGUCCAGACAGCAAAGAAACCAAGACAAAAAGAUGAUGGACAAGACAGAGGGCCUACCCCAAAGCUUCCCAUAGUUAAUACAUCCAACUCUUCACAGCUUCCCCUGGACAGGACUGCCUACAUGAACAAUAUGAGCCACCAUAAAGUGGCACUGUAGUUGAAAGAAUUUGCUUUGUCCUUUCCUCCUCCUUGUCCCACUCAGCCACUGGUGCUGGCAUAAAGCUUUAGCCAUAUUUAUCCAUCAUGAACAAGUAUGGGAAAACCUAUCUGUGUUGAAAACUCAGCAGUAUSUACUUAGGCAUUUGCUUACAUAUUUUUUUUCUCUGGUACCAUUUAAACUCAUCUCAGYACUUUAUUCAAGUCAGUUUCCUUGUGCUGGCCCAAGGGGAGGGUUAGUGUAGCAGUGAAAAAGAGUAGCAGAGAGUAAAAUAUUUUUUCCUGAUGGUGAAAGCAAUUCAUGGAAGCUUAAAAUGUUUCUGAGGCUCUAGCCCUGAUAAAUGGGAAUCCAGUGUCAGACACAUGCUCUGUUUGUCCCUUGAAAUACAAGAGGUAAGAAUCAUUGUGCCACCCAUAGCCUAAAAGCAAUGUCYGGCUGGAAAAAUCAAUCUCCCUCUUCUGAGACCUGUCCAUCCCUAAAGAAGAGCCCUUUUCCUCAGUUGUUUACAUCCUUUAAAAAUUUGGAUCCAAUAAAGUUUUUUUAAUGGACGUGAGGAUCCGGGCCUGUGAAUUAAAGCCCACUGGCAAUAAAUAUGCUUUGCUUAUUUUGCUUCUGUAAAUGCAUAAGAGCAGCCUAUCAGUUGUUGCAGGUCCAGAUAUGUUGCUUGCAAACCAAUGAUCUAAUUUGUUGUGCACUGAGGACUGUGUACGUGAAGGAUUUGUGACUGAUGAACUAAAUGGGCACUCCAUGAGUGGUAAAGAAAGAGGAAAUCUGCUGGUAUUUCAGAAAGGAAGCUGUGUAACAUCUUUCAGAUAAUUUAAGCAACCAUGAGAAACGAGAGCUUGUUCUUCCAGAGGUAGCUGAUUUUUGAAACUGCUUGUGUGAGAACGGCUAGGAGUUGGAAACAAUAAGCUYAUUAAGUGCAGCAGGUAGCAGGAAAAAUGAGGUUCAUAACGACCUCCAUUUGCAAUACCCCUUCCCACGUAUGCAGGAAUACACAACCUGAUUCUCGGAUAUUUUAAUCGGUACAUUUCAGCGACACUUUUUGACACCGACCUUAAUUACAUCAAAAAAAUAAAACAAAAUAAAAGCCCGGGGAGAAAAACAAAGCCAUUACCCCCUUGGCUCCCAGGCACAGCAGCCCKCCCCGAGAGCCCGAAGCCGCGCACGGCGAGCACUCCCGCGCCCGUGGCCGGGCUCCGCUUCGCAGACAAAGCCCUGUGCACCUCUGUGCAAAAAGAGCGCAGCGCGGCGCCGGGCGGGCGGGAGCGCAGACAAAGCGGGGCAGGCGGUGGAGCGCCGCAGCAUGCGGGGCCGCGCAGGGCUUCCUCUGCGGGUGGGCUGCUGCUGCCGCGGCUCCUCUUUUUUU